UACGAAGGGGGCUAGCGUUGUUCGGAAUCACUGGGCGUAAAGCGCACGUAGGCGGACUCUUAAGUCGGAGGUGAAAUCCUGGAGCUCAACUCCAGAACUGCCUCCGAUACUGAGAGUCUUGAGUCCGGGAGAGGUGAGUGGAACUGCGAGUGUAGAGGUGAAAUUCGUAGAUAUUCGCAAGAACACCAGUGGCGAAGGCGGCUCACUGGCCCGGUACUGACGCUGAGGUGCGAAAGCGUGGGGAGCAAACAGG
rnacentral:rRNA from 1 species